CUCCCUCCCUCCCUCCCUCCCUCCCUCUACACCCAACAUGGGGGUCAGAUUUAUGACCUUGAGAUCAAAAGUUGCAUGCUCCUCCAGCUGAGGCCAUCCGGGUGCCCCUAUCCCUGGUAAUUUUUCUUGCUCUGAAAUCUACUUUGUCUGAAAUUGAAAUGACUACUCCAACUUUCUUUUGAUUACUGUUAACAUAGUGUAUUUUUCUCCAUCCCUUUAUUUUUUCCAAAAUUGUGAUAAAAUACACUUACCAUUUUAUUAUUCACAUUGUUGUGUAGCUAAUCUCCAGAAUCUUUUCAUCUUUCAAGAUUGAAACUCUCUAUUAAACAAUAACUCUUUAUCCUCCUCUUCCCCCAGUUUCUAGCAACUGCCUUUUUACUUUUUGUAUCUGUAAGGGGACUCAUACAAUAUUGUAGUUUAGUGACUGGCUUAUUUCACUUAGCAUAACAUCCUUAAGGUUCAUCCAUGUUGUAACAUGUCAGACUUCUUUACUUUUUAAGGCUGAAUAAUAUUCUAUUAUGGGUACGUACCACAUUUUGUUUAUUCAUCUGUCAACAGACACUUGAGUUGCUUCUGCCUUUUGGGUUUAUUGAAUAACGCUGCCAUGAAAGUGGGUGUGCAAAUUAUCUUGAGACCCUACUUUUUAAGCAUGUACCUGGAAGUGGAAUUGCUUGAUCAUAUGCAAUUCCAUUUUCAGUUUUUUGAUGAACAACCAUACUGUUUUCCAUUGUGGCUGUGCUGUUUUACAUUCCCACCAGCAGUGUACUAGGUUCUGAUUUCUCCACGCCCUUGCCAACACUUGUUAUUUUCACCUUUUUUUUUUUUAAUAGUAGCCAUCCUUGAUAGAUCUGUGUGUCUCAUGACUUUGAUUUGCAUUUCUGUAAUGAUGUUGAGCAUCUUUUUAUGUGCUUGUUGGCCAUUUGUAUAUCUUGUGGAAAAUGUCUAUUUAAGAACUUUACCCAUUUUUUAAAGGGGUUUUUUUUUGUGUUUUUAAAGUUUAUUUUUUGAGAGAGGGGAAGGGACAGAGAAGAAGAGAGAAUCUUAAGCAAAGCUCCAUGCUCAGCAUGGAGCCCAAUGUGGGGCUCAAAUUCACGAACUGUGAGAUCAGGACCUGAGCCCAAAUCAAGAGUCAGACACUUAACUGACUGAACCACCCAGGUACCCUUACCCAUUUUUUAGUUGGGUUCAUUUUUUGUUGAUUUCAGGAGCUCUUUUAUAUAUUCUGGAUAUUAAUCGCUUGUCAUUUAUAUGAUUCGUAAAUAUUUUCUUCCAUUGUACAGGUUGCCUUUUGACUCUGUUGAUUGUGCUCUUUGAUGCACAGGAAUUUUUCACUUUGAUGUAGUUCCAGUUAAUUUUUACUUUUGUUGCCGGUUUUGUUUGUGUCAUAUCCAAGAAAUCAUUGCCAAAUCAAGUUGUCAUGAAGCUUUUCUUUUAUGUUUUCUUCUUCGUUUUAUAGUUUUACCAUGCCUUUUACUGUUAACAUGUUUUUGCCUUUAUGUGUAAAAAUGAGUUUUGGGACAUCUAGGUGGCUCAGUUCGUUAGGCCUCUGACUCUUGAUUUCAACUCAGGUAAUGAUCUCACAGUUCUUAGGAUCAAGCCCCCAUGUUGGGCUCUGCACUUCUGACUUAUCUUUUAUUGAGCAUUUUAUAUGACUCCAUUGUUUCUUCUCUUAGCAUAUUAUUUGUGCUUUUUUUAAAGUUUAUUUAUUUAGAGAGCACACAUGAGCACACAAGCGGGGGAGAGGCAGAGAGAAAAUCCCAAGCAGACUCCGCACUGACAGCAUGGAGCCCCAUGUGGGGUUGGAACCCACAAACCGUGAGAUCAUGACCUGAGCCAAAGUCAGGAGUUGGAGGUUUAACCGACUGAGUCACCCAGAGACAGAGCAUGAAUGGGGGAGGGGCAGAGAGAGAGGGAGACACAGAAUCAGAAGCAGGCUCCAGGCUCUGAGCCAUCAGCACAGAGCCCGACGCGGGGCUUGAACUCCCGGACCGCGAGAUCGUGACCUGAGCUGAAGUCGGACGCUUAACCGACUGAGCCACCCAGUGUGCCUUAUAAUUCUUUUCUUGAAAGCCACGCAUGAUGUACUGGGUAAAAGAAACUGAGGUAAAGAGGCCUUUGGUGUGAGACCUUCUGUCUGUCUGACCAGGGAUUAGUCUCUGUUUACUGAUUGCUGUAGUGUAGAUGUCAGAAUCUAAAAUCUCCUCUGAUACCCUUCUUUUUGUCUCCCCUGUUGCCUUUGGGGUUCUUUAGAGACUUUUUUUUGUUUGUUUAUUUAGUUUGAGAGACAGAGAAGAGGAACAGAGAGAGGAGAGAGAAUUUAAAGCAGGCUCUGCACUGUCAGCACAGAAGCCUAUGUGGGUCUCAAACUCACAAACUGAGAUCAUGACCUGAGCUGGAACCAGAGCUGGAUGCUCAACCAAUUGAGCCACCCAGGCACCAUCUUUAAGUAAGGUCUGAGACCUGCAGUUCGAGUUAUAACCCCUGUUAUUGCACAGGAACCCUAUUGAUGUGGUGGCUGGGGGAGGGAAAGCACUUU